CCCUUAGAUGUUCUGGGCCGCACGCGCGCUACACUGAUGCAUUCAACGAGCCUAUCCUUGACCGACAGGUCCGGGUAAUCUUUGAAUCUGCAUCGUGACGGGGAUAGAUUAUUGCAAUUAUUAAUCUUCAACGAGGAAUGCCUAGUAGGCGCAAGUCAUCAGACUGCAUCGAUUACGUCCCUGCCCUUUGUACACACCGCCCGUCGCUCCUACCGAUUGAAUGCUCAGGUGAGCCAUUCGGACUUUCAUCAUGCUGGUUUCCAGUUUUGAUGAAGGAAAGUCUUGCGAACCUUAUCAUUUAGAGGAAGGAGAAGUCGUAACA
rnacentral:rRNA from 1 species